GGACACCGGCCCUCCAGGACCGAGUUUGGGCAGCCCUGAUUUAGAACAACAUGGCAAGAUUCCCAGCUGUCUGAGAAAACCCCAAAUAGGAUUCAAACAUUUUUAAUGACUCUUUAUUAUUUUCCAAACCAUUUUUUGCUCAUUUUUUUCUGUUGUUCAGUCUUUUGCUGUCUUGUUCAAAAAUGGCAUUAUAUGUGUUUUAUAGUUGUACAAAGGACAUUUUAAUACAAUGUAAGUAUACACCAUUAAAGUAUAACUGGCCCCAGCUUGGCCCCAUAUGAUAUUAAUAUAACUUGUAAAAGGGAUGAAUAAAUAAAAGUGCUGUGUGAGCAUGUUCAUCUCUGACUUCCCCUCUGGUCUGUGUGGUCGAGGUUUCAUCUAAAGCUCAGUGAUGUUUCCGCUCACAGUACGAGAUGUUUGUAUGAUCACAGUAUAGAAGAUAUUCAUCUGGAUCAGACGAUGAAGAUCAUCCAGCUCCAGAUCUAUCUGUUCAUGUGGUCUCAAGCCACAGAGAGUCUAACAAACACAGCAGUAACUUUAGGAGCUGAUGUGAAUAUAAGCUGUGAUCUUGAUAUAGAGGAGAUUUACUGGUACAGACAGAAGUCACCGGAUCCUCCAGUGUUCAUCUUACGCACUUUUGAUAGCACAUACGAAGAAGAAAUAUCACCACUGAUGAAUUAGGAGUUUAUUAUUGUGUGAAAACUAGUGAACCACUCAAAUUCAGCAACGGCACCAACAUCUACA